rnacentral:tRNA from 1 species
GCCGGGGUGGUGGAAUUGGCAGACACAUACGUUUGAGGGGCGUAGGCCUUCGGGCAUGGGGGUUCAAAUCCCCCCUCCGGCAUCA